rnacentral:rRNA from 1 species
UACGUAGGGGGCUAGCGUUGUCCGGAUUUAUUGGGCGUAAAGAGCGUGUAGGCGGCCAUGUAGGUCCGGUGUGAAAACUCGAGGCUUAACCUCGAGAUGUCAUCGGAAACCAUUUGGCUAGAGUCCGGAAGAGGAGAGUGGAAUUCCGUGGUGUAGCGGUGAAAUGCGCAGAUAUCAGGAAGAACACCAAUGGCGAAAGCAGCUCUCGUGGGACGGUCACUGACGCUGAGACGCGAAAGCGUGGGGAGCGAACAGG